rnacentral:rRNA from 1 species
UGGAGAUUUGAUCCUGGCUCAGAACGAACGCUGGCGGCAUGCCUAACACAUGCAAGUCGAACGAACCCUUCGGGGUUAGUGGCGCACGGGUGCGUAACGCGUGGGAAUCUGCCCUUGGCUUCGGAAUAACAGUUAGAAAUGACUGCUAAUACCGGAUGAUGUCUUCGGACCAAAGAUUUAUCGGCCAGGGAUGAGCCCGCGUAGGAUUAGGUAGUUGGUGGGGUAAAGGCCUACCAAGCCGACGAUCCUUAGCUGGUCUGAGAGGAUGAUCAGCCACACUGGGACUGAGACACGGCCCAGACUCCUACGGGAGGCAGCAGUGGGGAAUAUUGGACAAUGGGCGCAAGCCUGAUCCAGCAAUGCCGCGUGAGUGAUGAAGGCCUUAGGGUCGUAAAGCUCUUUUACCCGGGAUGAUAAUGACAGUACCGGGAGAAUAAGCUCCGGCUAACUCCGUGCCAGCA